CGAUCACGUUCCCCUGGUAACCGCUGCGGUACUCACGCGAGAUUUCCCGCGGGGGUGAGAGUUCAUCACACCGGGAGCAGCAGCGCUUCCCCUCCCGGAGAAGAGCUGCCUUCAGCGGACACCUGUCACCGUGAAACUCCGCUGCUUUUACCCACUGUGGUGUAUACAUGUAUUUACCCACUCAAAUAUUACUUCUACUUCUAAUAUACUACACUUUCCGUGAGUACACAUCCCAAUAGAAGUAGUGAAAGAAGUAUUCCCGAGCGUUUAGAUGCCACUGCUAGCAACAGCACUCUUAAAAGCAGCUGGGCCGAGCACCUGGUAUGUAUGGAGUUGGACAUAUUUAUUGAUUACUGUAGGGAGGAGUGGUCGGAGACGUCGAGGCUCCCUCGCUGCAUCCCCAGCAUAGAAAGCAAGCAACUCAAGGAAAGCGGCUGUGUCUGAUUUGAAACUCUCCAUUGAUCUGAUACCACCAAGAACUGGCCUGCAUAUUAAACCGACGCUGGGAUACAGCU